rnacentral:lncRNA from 1 species
AAUCAGUACAGAUAGAAAAUUGACAUGUUCGAUGAGCUGACUCAUUGCAAAAGGAAAAUAUCCGCACAUGGAGGGGUGAAAAUGAAGCAUACAUGAAUCAUAUCCACAUUGAGCGAGAAUUUUCCAAACAAUUGAGCUACAAUCAUCACUGACCUCUUCAGCCGCAAAAAUCAAAACCGCCGAUCAAUGAUCAUAGUCGUCUACGCACAAAAACCAGCGCCUUCAGCUAGAAUAUUCCCAAUUUCCCAUUAAUAAUCUAAAAAUUGCAGUUUAUACGAAUG